rnacentral:rRNA from 1 species
UAGUACGGCGAGUGAAGCGGGAAGAGCUCAAAUUUGUAAUCUGGCACUUUCAGUGUCCGAGUUGUAAUCUCGAGAAGUGUUUUCCGCGCCGGACCGCAUACAAGUCUGUUGGAAUACAGCGUCAUAGUGGUGAGAACCCCGUAACUGAUGCGGAUGCCCGGUGCUUUGUGAUACACUUUCGAAGAGUCGAGUUGUUUGGGAAUGCAGCUCAAAUUGGGUGGUAAAUUCCAUCUAAAGCUAAAUAUUGGCGAGAGACCGAUAGCGAACAAGUACCGUGAGGGAAAGAUGAAAAGCACUUUGGAAAGAGAGUUAACAGUACGUGAAAUUGUUGGAAGGGAAACGCUUGAAGUCAGACUUGCUAUUUGGAGUUCAACCCAUGGUGUAUUCUUCAAUUUGCAGGCCAGCAUCAGUUUCUGGGGGUGGAAAAUCGUAGUUUGAAUGUAGCAGUUUCGGCUGUGUUAUAGCUUUCUACUGGAUUCAUCUUCGGGGACUGAGGAACGCAGUGCGCUUUUAGCAAGGCUCUCGAGCUUUACGCACUUAGGAUGCUGGUGGAAUGGCUUUAAACGACCCGUCUGA